GGAAGUAAAAGGCGUAACAAGGUCUCCGUAGGUGAACCUGCGGAGGGAUCAUUACAGAGUUCAUGCCCUACCGGGUAGAUCUCCCACCCUAUGUUAUUAUUACUUUGUUGCUUUGGCGGGCCGUUAGGCUCCGGCCCGACUACCGGCCCCGGCUGGUAAGCGCCCGCCAGAGGACCCAAAACCCUGAAUAUUAGUGUCGUCUGAGUACUAUAUAAUAGUUAAAACUUUCAACAACGGAUCUCUUGGUUCUG
rnacentral:misc_RNA from 1 species